AGGGGGACUAAAUGGAAGUCGUCGCUAAAAUUAUUAGUCUUUAACAGCAGUCAAUUAAAACUGCCACUAUAAUUAGCGCGUGACUUGAGUAGGGUUUCCUCCUAGCGUCCCCUUCCUCUUCACAUUUCAUUCCCUUCCCGCCUCUGUAUAUAUCUCCUCUCACAAUCAUUUGUUUCUCUCUUAAUCGAAUUUUAGACCACUGUCGUCUCCUCGAUCGGGGUUAACAUCACUGAAUGGCAUUUGGCCAUAGCCUUGAUAGUUGAAUGGUGCAAGGGAGAUUUUGGAUUUCAACAAGUUGUGAAAGCCUCCUUGCUCUUGCUACUUUGUGCCUUGUAUUGAGCCUAGUCCAUCAUAUUCAUAGUAGCGUGGUUACCUGCUUAUUCAUACCAAUGGUGGACUCAACCAGAUGCAGGCUGGGAUUAUUGAAUCUAAAAACUUGUUAAAGCCUAUCCUUUAUGCUCAGAAAGCUCCAGGUUAAGAUGUUUUCUAAUGAAUUUAAUCUUAUACUCUCAAGUUCAGUUGCAUUCUUGUUAAAGACCUUUUUUUGUUUAUUUAUUUUAUAAAACUAAAUCAGGAUUUUGACCAUAUAAGAUCCUGAAAAUGAUCUCCCUCUCUCUCUCUCUCUCCUUUUAGA